rnacentral:rRNA from 1 species
UAACAAGGAUUCCCCUAGUAACUGCGAGUGAAGAGGGAAAAGCUCAAAUUUAAAAUCUGGCGGGCUCUGCUCGUCCGAGUUGUAAUCUGGAGAAGCGUUUUCCGCGUCGGACCGUGCAUAAGUCUCCUGGAACGGAGCGUCAUAGAGGGUGAGAAUCCCGUCCAUGGCACGGACCGCCGAUGCUUUGUGAUACGUUUUCAAAGAGUCGAGUUGUUUGGGAAUGCAGCUCAAAACGGGUGGUAAAUUCCAUCUAAAGCUAAAUAUUGGCGAGAGACCGAUAGCGAACAAGUACCGUGAGGGAAAGAUGAAAAGCACUUUGGAAAGAGAGUUAAACAGUACGUGAAAUUGUUGAAAGGGAAACGCUUGAAGUCAGUCGCGUCCGACGGAACUCAGCCUUGCUUCGGCCUGGUGUACUUUCUGUCGGACGGGUCAACAUCAGUUUUGACCGGUGGAAAAAGGCAGGGGGAAUGUAGCGUCGUUUCGGCGGCGUGUUAUACCCCCUUGCUGCAUGCAUCGGUCGGGACUGAGGACCGCAGCACGCCUUUUUGGCCGGGGGUUCGCCCCACGUACCGUGCUUAGGAUGUUGGCAUAAUGGCUUUAAGCGACCCGUCUUGAAACACGGACCAAGGAGUCCAACAUGCUUGCGAGUGUUCGGGUGGAAAACCCUUGCGCGCAAUGAAAGUAACAGUUGGGAACCUCCGCAAGGGGGUGCACCGACGCCCGGCCCUGAAGUUCUCUGACGGUGCUGCGGUAGAGCAAGUAUGCUGGGACCCGAAAGAUGGUGAACUAUGCCUGAAUAGGGCGAAGCCAGAGGAAACUCUGGUGGAGGCUCGUAGCGAUUCUGACGUGCAAAUCGAUCGUCAAAUUUGGG